CGCGCUCCAUUCGGUAGCAAUACUGAUGAAGAGUGAGUGGCGAACGGGUGAGUAACACAUGAGCAACCUGCCCCGAAGACUGGGACAACACCGGGAAACCGGUGCUAAUACCGGAUAUCCCUAUCGGACCGCAUGAUCCGAUAAGGAAAGGAUUCCGCUUCGGGAGGGGCUCGUGGCCUAUCAGCUAGUUGGUGGGGUAACGGCCUACCAAGGCAUCGACGGGUAGCUGGUCUGAGAGGACGAUCAGCCACACUGGGACUGAGACACGGCCCAGACUCCUACGGGAGGCAGCAGUGGGGAAUCUUGCGCAAUGGGCGAAAGCCUGACGCAGCAACGCCGCGUGGAGGACGAAGGCUUUCUGAGUUGUAAACUCCUUUCAGCAGGGACGAUAGUGACGGUACCUGCAGAAGAAGCACCGGCCAACUACGUGCCAGCAGCCGCGGUGAUACGUAGGGUGCAAGCGUUAUCCGGAUUUAUUGGGCGCAAAGAGCUCGUAGGCGGUUUGAUAAGUCGGGUGUGAAACCUCCAGGCUCAACCUGGAGCCGCCACUCGAUACUGUCAUGACUAGAAUUCGGUAGGGGACCACGGAAUUCCUGGUGUAGCGGUGAAAUGCGCAGAUAUCAGGAGGAACACCAGCAGCGAAGGCGGUGGUCUGGGCCGACAUUGACGCUGAGGAGCGAAAGCGUG
rnacentral:rRNA from 1 species